rnacentral:rRNA from 1 species
GACGAACGCUGGCGGCGUGCCUAAUACAUGCAAGUCGAACGCUGAAGGAGGAGCUUGCUUCGCUGGUUGAGUUGCGAACGGGUGAGUAACGCGUAGGUAACCUGCCUGGUAGCGUGGGAUAACUAUAGGAAACGAUAGCUAAUACCGCAUAAUAGCUGCUGUUGCAUGGCAACGGUUUGAAAGGUGCAAUUGCUGCACAACCAGACGGACCUGCGUUGUUUUUGCUAGUUGGUGGGGGAACGGCUCCCCAAGGCGGGGAUACAUGGCCGACCUGGGAGGGGGGGCGGGCACGCUGGGACUGGGGCACGGCCCCAAUGCCUCUGGGAUGCAGCAGUAGGGAAUCUGCGGCGAAGGAGGGAAGUCUGACCCAGCAACGCCGCGAGAGUGAAGAAGGUUUUCGGAUCGUAAAGCUCUGGUGUAAGAGUAGAACGCGUGUGAGAGUGGAAAGGACACGCUGGUACGGUAUCUUACCAGAGAGGCACGGCUAACUUCGUUC